ACGGAAGGCAGCAGUGGGGAAUAUUGCACAAUGGGGGAAACCCUGAUGCAGCGACGCCGCGUGAGUGAAGAAGUAUUUCGGUAUGUAAAGCUCUAUCAGCAGGGAAGAUAAUGACGGUACCUGACUAAGAAGCACCGGCUAAAUACGUGCCAGCAGCCGCGGUAAUACGUAUGGUGCAAGCGUUAUCCGGAUUUACUGGGUGUAAAGGGAGCGUAGACGGCAAUGCAAGUCUGAAGUGAAAGCCCGUGGCUUAACUGCGGGACUGCUUUGGAAACUGCAUGGCUAGAGUGUCGGAGAGGUGAGUGGAAUUCCCAGUGUAGCGGUGAAAUGCGUAGAUAUUGGGAGGAACACCGGAGGCGAAGGCGGCUCACUGGACGAUCACUGACGUUGAGGCUCGAAAGCGUGGGGAGCAAACAGGAUUAGAUACCCUGGUA
rnacentral:rRNA from 1 species